UACAGAGGGGGCAAGCGUUAUUCGGAAUCAUUGGGCGUAAAGCGCGCGUAGGUGGCUUCGUAAGUCCGUUGUGAAAGUCAAAGGCUCAACCUUUGAAAGCCGAUGGAUACUGCGGAGCUAGAGUACGGAAGAGGCGAGUGGAAUUCCUGGUGUAGCGGUGGAAUGCGCAGAUAUCAGGAGGAACACCAAUAGCGAAGGCAGCUCGCUGGGACGUUACUGACACUAAGGCGCGAAAGCGUGGGGAGCGAACAGG
rnacentral:rRNA from 1 species